AAAAAUAAUUGCAUCAUAAUUACGGCAAUAUAAUUACAUAGAGCCAAAUAGGCAACAAAAAUAGCAAUAAUUAAUUUACACCCAAACAGUCCCUGGCCUACUGUUCAGAUGAAAGAGGAUUAACCACUCAGUAUGUGCAUCUGCAAGGUAGUCCAGAGUCCAUAAAGCUAGUAAGACUCAGACCAUGGCAAAGUAAUACAAUAUAUAUAUGUAGCAAGUGGGCAAGUAGUCGUAGUUUGGUGCCUACUCCCUCUCCAGUUGCACAGUUAGUCUCUCUUCCUGUCACACACUACGUCACUAAUUGGGGAAUGGAAUACGAUUGAUUAGGCUACCUGACGUAUUACCCACAGGCUAUGUAUAGACACCUGGGGUCCUAAAGCCGGUAGCUUGUUGUCAACACCACUGGUUCUAGGGCUGUGUAGCAGAGUCACAGGUGCUGCGUGAAAGCAACAGGUAUGUCUGAGCAAAGGUUUAUUUAAGUUCUUCCGUCACUGAUGAAUAGCUUGCUAAGUGGCUACUUGUUUUAACAAUUGUAUAGGAGGACGAGCCGCUGUAUGUUGAUGUGCAUGUGGGAGAAUGACGCCGUGUUGUUGUGCGUAACAAGUGUCUGCUGGGCACUGUUACCGUAGCAGUGAGGGGAGUUGUUCUCAGGAAGCCAUCAGCUACAGUGUUCGUAGCCUUGUUGAAAAGUGAUAGACCCUCGCAGCUACACAGGGAUGCUAGUUGCUGUUCUCUUUUAAUGUGUGUUUGAUGCAUUGGUGCUGCUUAUAGUUUGUUUACUUUUCUUUUUUGUUCCUCUAGCCUAUCGGCCUAAGUAGCUUGUGUAGGUACUACCUAUUUAAUGUGAGCCGCAGGCUAGAGUGGAUUUAUUUUGUUUUUUUCUUUUUUGCUGUACUUCCAGUUUUUGUGUCUCCCUCCCCCCUCCACAGCGAAUAGCCUCGGUGCUUAUAAGGCCCAUUAGUACCUGACCUUGGAUAGCCGGUCUCUGUAGUUUUUCUCACUCUAGUAGCCUACAGAGAUUGCAGUGUGCAUGUAGUUUGAACUCUUAAUUGCCGUGUCACAUAUCACAGAGUGUCUUGGAUAUUGUAGUGCAUUUUCCCUGAAUCUAAA